ensembl:misc_RNA 7SK 7SK RNA
GAAUGUGAGGGAGAUCUGGCUUCAGCAUCUGUCACCCCAUUGAUCAUCAGGGUGGAUGUGGCUGAUCUGGCUGGCUAGGGGGGUGUCCCCUUCCUCCCUCAUCGCCCCACGUGUGUCACUCCCGAAGCUGUGUGUUUGGUUGAAGAGGAUGGCCUUCUGAAUAGAGACUGACUGGUCUCAGUCAAGGGUAUAAGAGUAGCUGGGCUCCCCUGCUAGAACCUCCAAAGCAGCUCUCAAGGUCCAUAAAGAAAGAGUGUGGGAGGGAGUUGGGCAGUAGCGCAGCGGCUUAAGCGCACAUGGCGCAAAGC